UACGUAGGGGGCAAGCGUUAUCCGGAUUUACUGGGUGUAAAGGGAGCGUAGACGGCAGUGCAAGUCUGAAGUGAAAGGCAAGGGCUCAACCCUUGGACUGCUUUGGAAACUGUGCUGCUGGAGUGUCGGAGAGGCAAGUGGAAUUCCUAGUGUAGCGGUGAAAUGCGUAGAUAUUAGGAGGAACACCAGUGGCGAAGGCGACUUUCUGGACGAUAACUGACGUUGAGGCACGAAAGUGUGGGGAGCAAACAGG
rnacentral:rRNA from 1 species